GAUGAAGAACGUAGCGAAAUGCGAUAAGUAGUGUGAAUUGCAGAAUUCAGUGAAUCAUCGAAUCUUUGAACGCACAUUGCGCCCUUUGGUAUUCCUUAGGGCAUGCCUGUUCGAGCGUCAUUUACAAAUUCAAGCUCAGCUUGGUGAUGGGUGUCUGUCCCGCCUUUGCGUGUGGACUCGCCUCAAAUGCAGUUGGCAGCUUGUUCCUCGGCUCUAAACGCAGCAGAUUUGCGUCGAGCGUCGUGCGGACGGGCUCUCCAGUAAGCAAACCCCCACAAAUUGACCUCGGAUCAGGUAGGGAUACCCGCUGAACUUAAGCAUAUCAAUAAGCGGAGGA
rnacentral:misc_RNA from 1 species